rnacentral:rRNA from 1 species
GGUCCCAAAACUACACUAAGUCACAAAGGAUGUCUAAAUGCUGUGACAGUCGGGAUGUUGGCUUAGAAGCAGCCAUCAUUUAAAGAGUGCGUAAUAGCUUACCGAUCGAGCAUUUCUGCACCGAUAAUGACCGGGAGUAAGUAGGACGCCGAAGCAGCGGAUUCGAUCCUUCGGGAUCGAGUGGUAGGAGAGCGUUCCGAAUCAGACACGAGCCGUACCGAAAGGAGCGGUGAAGGGGUUCGGAAGUGAUUAUGCCGGGAUGAGUAACGAUAAAACAGGUGAGAAUCCUGUUCGCCGAAAGCCUAAGGUUUCCUGGGGAAGGCAAUUCCGCCCAGGGUUAGGCGGUCCCUUAGUCGAGGCCGAAAGGCGUAGACGAUGGAUAGCAGGUCAACAUUCCUGCCCCAUCCGCGUGGAGCGAUGGAGGGACGGCGUCCAGAAAGUGAGCGGUACGAAUAGAAAUGUCCGUGGAGCUGGUUGAGAUGGUGGGAUCGGAAAAUCCGCCCGCAUAAUUCAAGACCAGAGCCUGACCGCGUUUAUGUUCGGGAAAUCAUUGGAAGGACGUCCAAGAAAAGCUUCUAAGCUUUGAAGCGUGGAUGACCGUACUAAAACUGACACAGGUAGGCGGGUCGAGUAGACUAAGGCGCUCGGGAGAACGCUGGUUAAGGAACUCUGCAAAAUGGCCCCGUACGUUCGCAAUAAGGGGUGCCCCUGAUGGUUCACGCUGUUGGGGGCCACAGUAAAUCGGUAGCUGCGACUGUUUAUCAAAAACACAGGACUCUGCUAACUCGUAAGAGGAUGUAUAGAGUCUGACGCCUGCCCGGUGCCGGUAGGUUAAGGAAGCGGGUUCACGCUCUCGACCGAAGCCCCGGUAAACGGCGGCCGUAACUAUGACGGUCCUAAGGUAGCGAAGUUCCUUGUCGGGUAAGUUCCGACCUGCAUGAAAGGCGUAACGACAGCUACACUGUCUCAACCAGCGACCCGGUGAAAUUGUAGUCGUGGUGAAGAUGCCACGUACCCGCGGUUAGACGGAAAGACCCCGUGAACCUUUACUGUAGGCUGAUAUUGGGUUGAGGCUUGUUUUGUGUAGGAUAGGUGGGAGGCUAUGAAGCCGGCACGCCAGUGCAGGUGGAGCCAUCCUUGAAAUACCACCCUGAGCACGUUUUAAUUCUAACCUGGAUAUCUGUGAAACCAGACCAGGGACAGUUUCAGUUGGGCAGUUUGGCUGGGGCGGUCUCCUCCAAAAGAGUAACGGAGGAGUACAAAGGUGCACUCAGCCUGGUUGGCAAUCAGGCAAAGAGCGUAAGGGUAGAAGUGCGCUUGACUGCGAGACUUAUCAGUCGAGCAGGAACGAAAGUUGGUCCUAGUGAUCCGGUGAUUCCGAAUGGAAGGGUCAUCGCUCAUCAGAUAAAAGGUACUCCGGGGAUAACAGGCUUAUCGCUCCCGAGCGU